CACUUUUUCACUGGAAGGGAAACAGAUUGUUGCCAUUGGUGCUGCUCAUGAUCUUCUUUGAAUAGUGAAGGAUGUCAGCUUAAAAAAACCUACACACAAAGGAGGGUAAAGCAAAGCAAGAGAAUUGUAGAGAAAUGGUGCUGGAGUCCUGAUUGUACUUCACUCCGAGUCCUCACCACCUCUCAGUUUACUGCUAUACCAGUGGAGGCAGCUCACGGGACAAAAGAAUGAGGCCCCAUUGCAGGUGAAGGUGGCUUCUAAGGGGCUUGACUCCUCUACAUUGCCCUCAUGCCAGCUGGGAGCUCAGGGGCUGCAUUAAGCAACAAGGAAGAACCAUGGAUGGCCAGUCUACCAGGGGAGGGCUCCUGAGAAGCCAAUUUAAGGACCAUAAGCCAUUUGCAACCUCAACAGAUAAACAGCAAUUUGCAAGCUCAGCAGAGUACCAGUGCUGGUGGUGAUGAUGAUACUCAGAAAGAUCUCAUACAUGAACAGCUUUGCUAACCCUUGCUACUCGGCCUGGAGACUGGACAUAGGACCAGAGGGAUAUGAGGAACUUGGAGAGGUGGUGGAAUGGACACACAAUACAGCCUGCAUCUGAGGAGUCCCUAAAACACAGAUACCAUGGAUUAACACUGAAUUAAAACUAAAGAGGAGGGUUAUCAGCCUUCAUUCUGUGGGUUAUACAAAUAAUUUAUAUAUCUAUUUUUAAAUAAAAUAAAUUCUCUUGUGCUGAUUUAAAUGGAUUUGUGGCACCAGGGACUUGCAAUUUCAGUGCUACCAAGAAAGCUAUUGCUGUUGCUAUGGUUUUCAUGAUGUGGAUGCAAUAAACCCAUGAAACUGCACACUGGUACACAAUCAUGCGAUUCUACUGAAGCACAUCAGAAUGAUUCUUCCUGUGUUUUAUUUAUUUUUUUUUUACUUUGAGAACCAGAAAAGCCUAAACCCACAAAUCACAAAUCAAUGAAAUUAUAAUAAUAGAAUAAAUUUCUUGAUUCCUAUAUUCCAAUUACAAUUUUAUACAUAUUUUAGGAAGAAAAUGUAAAACU